rnacentral:rRNA from 1 species
GACGAACGCUGGCGGCGUGCUUAACACAUGCAAGUCGAGCGGUAAGGCCCUUCGGGGUACACGAGCGGCGAACGGGUGAGUCACACGUGAGUAAUCUGCCCAUCACUUCGGGAUAACUCCGGGAAACCGGUGCUAAUACCGAAUAUGACCACUUCAGGCAUCUGAUGGUGGUGGAAAGUUCCGGCGGUGAUGGAUGAGCUCGCGGCCUAUCAGCUUGUUGGUGGGGUAGUGGCCUACCAAGGCUUCGACGGGUAGCCGGCCUGAGAGGGUGACCGGCCACACUGGGACUGAGACACGGCCCAGACUCCUACGGGAGGCAGCAGUGGGGAAUAUUGGACAAUGGGCGAAAGCCUGACCCAGCAACGCCGCGUGAGGGAUGACGGCCUUCGGGUUGUAAACCUCUUUCAGCAGGGACGAAGCGCAAGUGACGGUACCUGCAGAAGAAGCACCGGCCAACUACGUG